AUCGCUUCUCGGCCUUUUGGCUAAGAUCAAGUGUAAAAGUUAUUGUUACAUUAGGUACAGGAAAGUAUGAACUAACAUUGGAGUAACACAGAGUAAAAUUCACAUAUGAUAUCUCUAGAUUUGACAUUGGAGUUAAUUUGAAUCAAGGUCUCUUGAACCCUUCCCUUGUCUUCCAGCCAAGCACAGGGAAGGAAUUUUU